AGCAGCAGGAAGACUUCGUCUAGACUCCUACGGGAGCCGGAUUUCAUCUCCGACUCCAACUGCAAGAAGACUUCGUCCGGACUCCUGCGGGAGCCGGACUUCAUCCCCGACUCUGACUGUAGGAAGCCUUCGUCCGGACUCCUACGGGAGUCGGACUUCGUCCCCGACUUCAGCAGCAGGAAGACUCCGCCCGGACUCCUACGGGAGCCGGACUCCGCCCAC
rnacentral:lncRNA from 1 species